UUCCGGUGGCCAUAGCGGCGGGGAAACACCCGUUCCCAUUCCGAACACGGAAGUAAAGACUGCCAGCGCCGAUGGUACUUGGGGGGCAACUCCCUGGGAGAGUAGGACGCCGCCGGAU
rnacentral:rRNA from 1 species